GACGAACGCUGGCGGCGUGCCUAAUACAUGCAAGUAGAACGCAGUUGCGAAGGGGUGAGUAACGUGUAGGUAACUGCCUCAUAGCGGGGGAUAACUAAUGGAAACGAUAGCUUAUACCGCACUCUGUGGGAUGGACCUGCGUUGUAUUAGCUAGUUGGUGAGGUAAAGGCGUACCAAGGCGACGAUACAUAGCCGGCCUGAGAGGGUGGACGGGCACAAUGGGACUUGGAAAAGGCCCAGACCCCUACGGGAGGGAGCAGGAGGGGAUCUUCGGAAAUUGGCGGAAAUCUGUCCGGGCCAAGCCGGGUGAGAGAAGAAGGUUUUCGGAUCGGAAAGCUCUGUUGUUUGAGAAGCGGUAACUAACCAGAAAGGGCCGGCUAACUACGUGCCAGCAGCCGCGGUAAUAC
rnacentral:rRNA from 1 species